CCUACGGGAGGCAGCAGUGAGGAAUAUUGGUCAAUGGGCGCGAGCCUGAACCAGCCAAGUCGCGUGAGGGAAGACGGUCCUAUGGAUUGUAAACUUCUUUUGUCGGGGAGCAAAAGACGCCACGCGUGGCGUUCCGAGAGUACUCGAAGAAAAAGCAUCGGCUAACUCCGUGCCAGCAGCCGCGGUAAUACGGAGGAUGCGAGCGUUAUCCGGAUUUAUUGGGUUUAAAGGGUGCGCAGGCGGAAGAUUAAGUCAGCGGUAAAAUUGAGAGGCUCAACCUCUUCGAGCCGUUGAAACUGGUUGUCUUGAGUGAGUGAGAGGUAUGCGGAAUGCGUGGUGUAGCGGUGAAAUGCAUAGAUAUCACGCAGAACUCCGAUUGCGAAGGCAGCAUACCGGCGCUCAACUGACGCUCAUGCACGAAAGUGUGGGUAUCGAACAGGAUUAGAUACCCUGGUAGUC
rnacentral:rRNA from 1 species